rnacentral:lncRNA from 1 species
UGAAUAUGCGUGGCGAUCGCUUCUCAAUUUUCAGAGAGUUUAGAUCGGUUUGCAAGAUCUGCCUGAACAGUCAUGGAACAAUAUACCGAGACAGGACAAAACGCCUAAGACUUAGUUUGCUAGACUAUCCACCUAGGUUUUAUGUUCCCUGAAGUUCUAUGGUAGUCUCAAAAGCGUUUUUAUUUCUUAGUACUUUCCUACGAAAAUUCCAAGUCUGAUUUCAUCAAUUUCAAGUCGGACAUACCUUAGUUCUCUCGAAGAUUCGGGUUUACCUCUUCUCCGUUUUGCUUGCU